rnacentral:rRNA from 1 species
GACGUAGGAGGCGAGCGUUGUCCGGAUUCAUUGGGCGUAAAGAGCACGCAGGCGGUUUGGCAAGUCGGAUGUGAAAACCCGAAGCUCAACUUCGGGCCUGCAUCCGAAACUGCCCGACUAGAGGUAGGUAGGGGAGAUCGGAAUUCCGGGUGUAGUGGUGGAAUGCGUAGAGAUCCGGAGGAACACCAGCGGCGAAGGCGGCAUCCUGGACUGGUCCUGACACUCAGGAGCGAAAGCGUGGGGAGCGAUCCGG